GACGAACGCUGGCGGCGUGCUUAACACAUGCAAGUCGAACGGAAAGGCCCUGCUUGCAGGGUACUCGAGUGGCGAACGGGUGAGUAACACGUGGGUGAUCUGCCCUGCACUUCGGGAUAAGCCUGGGAAACUGGGUCUAAUACCGGAUAGGAGCCAUUUUUAGUGUGAUGGUUGGAAAGUUUUUCGGUGUAGGAUGAGCUCGCGGCCUAUCAGCUUGUUGGUGGGGUAAUGGCCUACCAAGGCGGCGACGGGUAGCCGGCCUGAGAGGGUGGACGGCCACAUUGGGACUGAGAUACGGCCCAGACUCCUACGGGAGGCAGCAGUGGGGAGUAUUGCACAAUGGGCGCAAGCCUGAUGCAGCGAC
rnacentral:rRNA from 1 species